GGGUGUUAGCUCAGCUGGUUAGAGCGCCGGCCUGUCACGUCGGAGGUCGCGGGUUCGAGUCCCGUACAU
rnacentral:tRNA from 1 species